UAUAACUGGUCAAUUGAAAUAAAAGGCGAAAGAAAGACGAUCUGGCAAUGGCGCAUGGACGAGACGCUGGCCCCCUUCCUCCUCUCUUUCUCUCACUCGUCGGCUGUGUGUGUAGACUGACUUGUGUUUUGUGUGCGCGCUCGUCGUAUCUCAGUGGAUGUUGAAACAGCCGCGGUCCCGCUCCAACGAAGACCCGUUUUUUUUCCCAACAACAACACAUAUAUUAUUUCUUACAAAGCAAAGAAUCAUCCAUUUCCAAGUACCUAAGUCAUUCUGUGAUGUGGUGACCAUGGCCUUGCAAAUGUCGCCUGUUGAUGCUCAUACUGAAAAUCAGCCUCCGUGUUAUUAUCAGCCUGCAGUGCUGCUGCCUGAAGCUGCUGCAGGAACGAGCAGUCAUCAAGUUGAGCCCUUUCAGUGCCAACUUUUGGAGUGCUCCUCUGCUGAACAAGUGCCUCUUCCUACUGAACAGAACCCUGUGCCACCAAAUUUAAGGAAAGUCGAACAAAGGGUGACUGCUGUGAGGAAGGAGGGUGCUGUUGUUGAGGAAGUGAUGGAUGCCUCAUUGCUCGUAGAGAGCAGUGAAGUGAGGCGUGGUCCAGAGGCUGAGGAUUUGAGAGGAGGAGCUGCUUCUGAAAUUCUCACCCUGCUGGAAGUUUCCCAAUCAUCUGUGAUAGACAGCUCCAACGUCGGUUCAUCCUCGGAGGGAUCGACAAACCCAGGCACGCACGAAUCCCUUAGCAACCCACCAUCUCCCUGUCUGGUCGAUAAAGUCGAGCAGAUAGGAUCAGCGGCCGCCAUUUCUUCCUCAAGCAAUAGUCUUAACGAUGCACAAAAGGAUUCGGGCGACGCAAUGAGGCAAAGCGGGUCGGCUUGGCGAUCGUGGAGCUCUAAUCAAUCGACUAUGACAUUCUCAGGAGAGACGAAUCCUCCAAGUGCAACUUACGCCGAUUCUGUUGUGUGCCCUCUGUCGACCUCUGCUCACUCCACCCUCGUCUCUUCUGCCUCUGCCGUCUCUGAUGAAGACUAUUGUGAUAGCAAGGAACCACUGAUCAUCAAGGGAAGCAGUCGCAGUAGUAGCACAUCGGUGUUCCUCCAAUAUCCCCCGAUCGGGCCGGCUUCCAACCGGCAUUGGGGCAUUCCUCAAGGAGCGGGUUUGCGCGGAGGUGCUGGCGAGACCUCCUUGAACAAUGGAGGAGGCAGCUGGGGUCAUCCGCCAGCUAGUGGAAGUUGGGGAGGCGGUGGAACCAACAACGCGGCGAACCAAGUCCAAGGCCAAUGGGGAGCAGCAUCCUCCACGGCCAACCAACGGAGCUCCGCAGCUAGUCAGGGACCAUCUGGAGCGCCGCCUCCUGGAUCCUCGGGACCGCAAGUUUCCAAUCAGCAGCUACCGACCGGUGCCCAACAACAGCAGCAACCUCAAGGAGCCUGGGAUACGACCAAGAAUGUCGUCACUGGCAAUGUCGUUCAACCAUCUGGAAGCUCGCCAAGCCAGGGUGUAUGGGCUGCUCAGGCUGCCAAAAACGUACCUAAUCAACCGACCAAUACCAACCCUAAUCAAGACAUAAUGGCUGCCAACCCCUUGAACUUACCUCAAGGUGGAAACGGUGGUGGAGGAGCCGUGGGAGGUUCUGGUCCUGCCACUCCUAGUUCUGGCAAACCGGAUCCUUUGGCUAACUACCGAGAUGUGAUUUACGCCCAGGACGGCUGGGGAGGCAACCAGGUGAAUCAAGACUCUCAAUGGGAUGUACCAACAUCACCAGAGCCAAAAGAAAUUCCGCUAUGGAAGCAAACUGCAAGCAAUGGAACUGAAGUCUGGGAAGUCAAUCUGCGCAACGGCGGCCAAGCCCCUCCGCCCAUCACUCAGACCAAGACACCAUGGGGAAGUCACACUCCUGCCACCAAUUUGGGAGGCACUUGGGGUGAAGAUGACGAAUCGUCGGAACCAUCCAGCAUGUGGACGGGUGUUCCGGCUAACAAUGGACCUACAAAUUGGGGAGCUAAUCCCAUGGGAGGUGCUCUGAACGCCGGACCAAUGGGCCCAACGUCAGUCCCAACUGGUGCUUCUGCCAUGGGUACGACAGGAAUUGCAUCGGGUAAUGGCAUGUGGGGUGGACAGCAGCAGCAGCAACAACAACAACAACAGCAGCAGCAACAACAACAACAGCCACAGAAAAAAGAGCCGGAGUGGGCUCCAGCCAGUUCAAUGCAAACUGGACCUGGUGGAUGGGGCGAAGUUCGUCCACCUCAACGCAUGGCUAUGUCUGGCAUCGGGCCAUCUGUCCCCGAAAAUAUGGGCAUGGCACCUUCUGCACCAUCUCACUGGCCUGGACCGCAAAACAAACCAGCGCCGCAAUGGAGUGGAAAUGUACCUACUAAGGAGAUGAAACCAACAGGGUGGGAUGAGCAUUCACCUCCUGCUCAGAAACGACAGGUGCCACAAUAUGACGACGGAACGGCCGUAUGGGGUAACCCAGCCCAAAUUCAACAGCCUGGUGGAUCAGUCGUCUGUCGCUGGAAAGAUAUGCCCAACCCCAAUGUGGCUGGCGGGCGUGGAAUGCAACAAUCUGGCCCGCCUCCUAACCGAAUGCCACCAGGACCGGGAAUGAAAACGGACAUGUCCUGGGGUCAAGCUCGUAACGGCUCCUGGGGAGAAGGAGGCGUAGGUGACAACAGUCAAAUGAACAACAUGUGGAUGGAUGACAAACCUGUAGGUGGUGGCUCGUGGAACGAGCCUCCUCAAACACCUACACCUUGGGCUGCUGGACCCAAACCAAAAACUCCCACAACUCCAAGUUGGGGUGAGAGUGAAGACAACUUGUCGUGGGGUCAGCCACAUAAGCAGGUUCCUAAACCUUUGGCCAAGGAAAUGAUAUGGAGCAGCAAGCAAUUCCGCAUCUUAUCCGAAAUGGGUUUCAAGAAAGAAGAUGUGGAGAAUGUCCUACGCAAUUGCAACAUGGUGAUGGAAGAUGCGCUGGAAACCCUACGCUCUGGUCGUGGGAUGUUUGGAGAUGACCAUGGCUCGGGUGGUUACGAUCCAAUGGGACCGCACGGAGGAGCGCCUUAUCCUCCUGGCGCUCGAUUUAAUCCCGGUCAACAAAUGCCUUUUGUUCACCCUGGAAGUGGUGGUGCACCUCAUCACUUAUUGAACAAUCCUGCUCCCAGUAUGGGAAUGAACCCUAAUCCUGCAUACAAAAUUCUUCAGCCUCAGCAACCGCCACCAAUGCCGCCUCAGGUCAAUCAAUCACAAAUGGUCCGGAACAUGUCACGAGUGGACACUGGCGUUUCGUCUGGUGCAGGAGCCGGUAGUCAACCUUCGCCGACUCAGUUACGAAUUCUCGUUCAGCAAAUCCAAAUGGCUGUACAGGCGGGUCAUUUGAAUCCCCAAAUUCUCAAUCAGCCACUGGCUCCUCAAACGCUGGUGCUGCUCAAUCAGUUGCUACAACAGAUCAAAGUACUUCAGCAGCUUGGUCAACAGCACAAUAUGGCUCUUAGUAGGCCGGGACAAGGACCUAUGGGGGGUCCCAUGAUGCAGCUCGUACCUCAAAUGAACAAAACGAAACAGCAGAUUGCCAGCUUGCAACAGCAGAUCGCCGCCCAACAGGCUCUGUAUGUCAAGCAACAAGGCCAAAUGAUGAAUCAACAGCCGCCAGGGGCUCCACCGAGCCAACCAUCUGAUCUAUUCAAAGUGGAUUCUGUUCACGGCAUUCAGUCCAAUUUGGACAGGAUGAGUUUACAGGAUUCUGGACAAUCUCGGCUCUCUCAGUGGAAGUACCCGCCACUCGACAAGGAUCUUUCUGAUCUAGGCAUGUCGGAAUUCAGUCGUGCACCUGGUAGCAGUGGUGGAGCUCCGGGUUCAAUUCCCAGCAACGCUAAACCGCCACUAGGUAGCAGCCUUUCUUCUCCCAACAUGAAUCCAGUCCUCGGUCAAGACGGCGGUGCUUGGUCGAGUCUUUCACGCUCUCAGUCCGAGACUGGCUGGCCUGACACGAAUCAGGAUUUGUCAGCUCCGGGAUCGGUGGGAGGCAACGAUGGAAAGGAUAGCUGGAGCAGUGCUGCCGGAACCUCUUCAUAUUCUGGUUCCAUAUCGGAUCUCGUUCCCGAAUUCGAGCCUGGCAAACCAUGGAAGGGACCACAGAUCAAAACGGCAGAUGACGAUCCAACUCUCACUCCCGGAACUUUUGCCAUGUCUGGCCUGAAUGAGGCCGACGUUUACUCAAACAACGCAUCAAAAGGAGGACAGAGCUCAACCAAAGCUUCACCUCCUCCUGUGGGAACUGGUGGAACAAGCUCCUCGAAUGAAUCGGGCUUCCCCACCCUGGGUCUUUCUAAUUCCACCUGGUCUUUCAAUCCGUCUUCGGCGUCGUCGAGUUCCGUCCCGUCUACGUCGACUCCUUACAGUUCUGCCAAGAUUGCACCAAAAUCGUCUUGGUCUGACGCCCCGCCGCCAUCAGCGGACCCGUGGAGCGCACCAAACAAGCCUCGUGGUCCGCCGCCAGGCAUCACCCCUUCGGCAGGCGUCGGCCCAAAGACUGCCGGUCGCGACUGGAGUGCAGCUGGCAGCCGCUCACCUUGGCCUGGAACUAAUACUACCGGCUCUGGAGGCACGUGGGCCGGUUCUCUCAAUGGUUCGUCGUCGUGGCUCGUGUUACGUAACUUGACCCCGCAGAUCGAUGGCUCGACGCUCAAAACAUUGUGCGUCCAGCACGGUCCACUUCACAACUUCCAUCUCUACCUCAACCAUGGAGUUGCUUUAAUUCGUUAUUCUACUGGCGAAGAAGCUGCCAAGGCCCAAAGUGCUUUGAACAACUGCGUGCUCGGAAACACGACGAUUUAUGCAGAUCUAGCCAACGAAUCUGAUGUGCAGGGCUGGCUGCAGCAGCUUGGCAUGCCCGCCCAACAGCAGCAACAACAGCAGCAGCAACAAAAUCAACAACAGCAACAGCAAGCUGUUUCCUCCAGUGGGUGGGGCGUCAGGGGCUCUACUCCUGGCGCCGGUUCUAACAGCGGAAGCGGCAACGGAGGUGGUGUAGGAAGCAACGCCUCAAAGGGAAGUGCCAACGCCGGAGAUAAUUGGGGAUCUGGUGCCGGUGGUCCUAGUUCGAGCCCAUGGUCGACGGGUCCCAAUUCAGUCUGGUCUACUCCGAACUUGGAUCGUGAUUUGAGAACCACGCCGUCAUCGCUGAACGCAUCGCUCAACUCGUUUCUGCCUGGCGAUCUCCUGGGCAACGAGUCCAUGUAAAAGUGAGGAUACAAACACACGUGACUCAAAAACAAAGCAAAAGAGAAUCGACAAAAUUACGUGUCAAUUUGAGAAUAGAUGAGAGAAGAGAAAAAUACCAAGAUUUGAAGCCGAUCAGCAGAAUUAACUUCGUAUCCUUUGGGCAGCUUUCUUUUCUCUCCCUACCUUACCUCUCAUCCCUUUUACCCUCCCGUCUGUAUUUUGGUUUGGACUUGAAGAAAAAUUUGAGAUUGUUUUCCUAAUUAUUAUUUUUCCCCCUCGUCCUCCUUUGCUUGUGUUGUAAUAGCCAUUUUCUUUUGUUUUUCUCCAUCUAUUCAUAAGAAUAAAUGACCUUGAUGAGACCUUUGAUUGAGGUGCCCAGUGCCUUUUUAUGUUAAUUUUUAUCCUAAAAGUAAAAAGAAAACCGAAGCAAAGGAGAAAGCAAGCACCCUUGGCGGAGAGGUGAUUUUCAGUCGGUCCCAAACUCGACACCCUGUUGUCGUUUGUAACACACAAGCAAAAGCGAGCGUUUGGAGAGUCUAGGAAGAGGGGAAACAGCUCCAAAUAAGUUACGAUGCAAGCCGUAGUAGACGAAUGAAAUACCCUGAACUAACACACGAGUCGAAAACAUCCUCCUAUCCACUCACGAACUUUUCAAUCCAAUCCGCAUCACUCCAGCCAACUUGGAACGAAAGUUGGUUGACGUGGCCUCCACACCGUUGGAUCUCGAUGCAAAAAGAAUGAACUUUGAUGCAGGCAAACUGACUCGUCACCCUAAUCUUAUCUGUUGAUUCGACAAGAACAUAUGACUCGUGAUUUUACAAUGAUUUGAGGAAUUUCCAAUUGAUUAUUUUGAAUUAUUUGUCUGAAUUUGAAUUGAAAGAAUUUGGAAACAAAACCACUGCCAUGCAAUUUACAUCAUUUUCAAAAUUUUAUUCUUUUGGAGGCAGCUUAACACACAUCCCCCACUCGCAUUAUCAAUCUACCUGUCCGUUUGAUCGUCAGCAGAUGUUUAUUUAUUUAUUUUUUUUUAAAUUUCUAACGGAACUUGCGUACCUCCGAUCAUGAGGUUGUGAUUUGAAAAUCUUGAAAUAAUUAAUGAAAGGCAAUCCGCAUCUGUCUGGAAGGGGAGGGAAAUUAUGUACAAGGGAGUUGUUAUUGUCUGAGAAAAUGACGUCGGCCAACUCCUCGCCGUCAAUCAUCAGCUCUUCCCUGCAUGCCAAAAAUUGUGUGAGAAAAAGGAAUACAAAUGAAUCCGUAUAUCCCUCCUCGGCGAUUGACAGUUUGCGCGAGAGAUCUGACUCACUUGUUUGUUUGUUUCAUUUUUUUUUUGCUUUUCUUUAUUGAAAACUCCUCUCUCAUUGGUCGUUUUUGAAUGUUUUUUGUAAACAGGAUAUACAGUUUAGCGAUGCCUAGUCACGAUGACUAAAACAUUGGCCAAAAAGAAUCAUAAAUCAAUCAAUAGACAAAACGGAAAUUUCUUCAAUCGGCGUGCGCUUUUCUUUUCUUUUUGAUUUGUUUGAAUUUUCCCGAUCGCAAAAAACUCAAUUUCUGACAUAUCCUCCUACCAAAAUAUCCUCCACACGAGCCAAUCAUUCACACAAACAAGCAAGACAAAAUAAGGGAAAAUUCUUGGAAGAAAAAAAACAUAACAAAAAGGAAAAAAAUGCGUUGGACUAACGAUUGCUGAAGAAAAAUCCCUUUUUUAUUAUUUUUUUUCCUUUUUAAGGGGCUUAUUAAAAACAAAAUAUACUUUCCAGAGACCAGGCUACAAAUGUUUGAAGUGAUUUUGCAUUAUUGAUGGAUCAAACCCAAGCCAUCAGAGCCAUGCGUUCCUUUCAUCUUCCUGUCGUUUGUAAAGAAAAAAAGAAGAAAAAUACCAAAGGUUGUUUUUGUAAAACUUGAAACGUUUUGUCAAACUGGGAUCGGGGAAAGAGACGAUCUUCUUUUCGAGCCUUUUCUGCCUUUCUCGUAGAGAACGACUUUUUAUUUGAAUAUUUUUAUCAUUUUUUUUAAAAAUAAAUUCAUGAAAAUCAACAAAUCCCGAAACAUUUGAGAAAAAAAGGAAACAAAUUUUUCACAUCUGUGGAAUAUUUUAUUUUACUUUCUUCUACUCCCGAUCGCACACGAGUAUCACAUUCUCUGUUGCCCUCUUCCGAAUCGGAUUACCGGUAGUGAUUUCAUUUGAAGAAGAAAAAAGAAAAGGAUUUAAUAAUAAAAAAAAAACGUAUUUGCUUUUUUAAAAAAGCAAACAGACGAAGACUAAAAAAAAAACAAAAGAAUCAAUUUUCCGAAUCGAUGGGACAUCCCGUACUUGAUGAUGCUAUGUAUGCCACUCUAAAAAUCUGUCACGUGUCUUUGUCUGUCUUGUCUGUGUAACUCUCUGUAGCCUCUACUCGAUAUAUUUCUGGUUUAGCCUAAACAAAAAUAGCUCCUGUUUUUUUUUUCAUUUAAUCUGCUCAUCAAAACGGGGGGAGGGAAACGUUCGUGUGUGUUUUCUAUCAGGUUUUUUUUUCGUUCUGGCUGAGAAAGGGGGAAAAUGUUCCAAAGACGUUGCUUUCUCCAUUCAAAAAACACACUUUCUAUUUAAACGUCGAUGAUAUCUAUAGCGCCUCGCUCUAAUAUAAUGUCAUAAAGUGGGAAACAAAAGCAAUUUCCCUGAUUUUGUUUGUUUUGACUUGAUUUUACUUACGCACGCUGCUUAGCCAAGAUAAAAGAAUUUCGUCAACUCACCCACCCCCCCAAAAAAAACAUGUGCGUUGAUGAAUUUCCAAACGUGUUGAGUGUGCCCCCCUAUAUUAAUCCUUGGUGAUUUAUCAAGCAGGUUUUUUUUCAAAAUAAUUUGUGUUUUCCUUAUUCUAUUGAGGCGUCGAUCUGUUAGUUGAGUUUGUCGCCAUUGCUUCACGGUCCUUUGAAAGAAAUUAGUUCUUUUCUUUGGGGGGGAUUUAAUUAGUAAGUGAUGAUUACCGUUAUAGGGAUUUUUGGCUGUUUUGUAAACCAUCUUCUCUCCCACCUCCUCCCACCCCCAGAUAAAAACGGAACAAUCCCGCCCACGAAGCCACGAUUCAUUAUGAGAAAAGAGAAAAAACCUAUUCAUCUGUCUGUGUGCGUGUGUGCGUGUUAUGUGUGUGUGUGUAUUAAACACACCGCCACGCCACAUGCUUUAUAUAACUCUCUCUCUCUCUCAUUAUAUCCGAUGAUUCAAAGAGGACAAUAUGCUGCAAAAAAUUCUAAUCGCCUGUGUCUGUUUUGGGUUUUUUUAAUUCUAUGCGUGUGACGUUAUUCAUUUUGUUUUCUGAAAUUCAGUGAAUCAUAUAUGAGUCUAUCUAUAUAUUUACGCGGGUGUAGGGUCAUAAAAGCUUUAGUAAAUUUUUUUUUAGACUCACUUUGGUCCCGAGUGUUCAAUAUCCGUGUGUUUUCCGCGCCUACCCUCCCAAUUAUUGUCUCUUCAACUGACGUUGGUAUAAACAAACUGUUACUGGACUGAAGAAGAGAAAAACAAAAAAUGUUCUGUUUGUGUUAGUCCCCACCCAAAAUUAUAAACGGGCUAAAAUGGGGCAAGUGUCUUAAAAAGAAAAGGGUGAGAAAAAAAGCAUAAUAACCUAGUGUUCCGUCGGUCUGGUCGUCUUCGCAGUUAUAUCCCCCCCCCCCCACGUUAUUAUUAUUAUUAUUAUUUUUUCGAUUGAUAACCUAUCUUAUAAUUAUUAUCAUAUAUUUACACUGCUUUAUGUGGCCAUUUUUCGAUAAAACCAAACGACAAAACAAAAAGACUGGGACAGCCUAUCGAUUGAUAAACUGUGAAGUCAUCAGACAAGUUGACAAAAUGUUAAUUACAUCAGAAAAGAAUGGCCAUUUCUUGACUGUGUGUCUGCGUGUGUGUGAUGUCAGAAAAAGGGAAAAAACAAACAGAAACA
rnacentral:misc_RNA from 1 species